rnacentral:rRNA from 1 species
GACGAACGCUGGCGGCGUGCUUAACACAUGCAAGUCGAACGGAAAGGCCCUGCUUUUGUGGGGUGCUCGAGUGGCGAACGGGUGAGUAACACGUGAGUAACCUGCCCUUUACUUUGGGAUAACUUCAGGAAACUGGGGCUAAUACCGGAUAGGAGCUCCUGCUGCAUGGUGGGGGUUGGAAAGUUUCGGCGGUUGGGGAUGGACUCGCGGCUUAUCAGCUUGUUGGUGGGGUAGUGGCUUACCAAGGCUUUGACGGGUAGCCGGCCUGAGAGGGUGACCGGCCACAUUGGGACUGAGAUACGGCCCAGACUCCUACGGGAGGCAGAAGUGGGGAAUAUUGCACAAUGGGCGGAAGCCUGAUGCAGCAACGCCGCGUGCGGGAUGACGGCUUUCGGGUUGUAAACCGCUUUCGCCUGUGACGAAGCGUGAGUGACGGUAAUGGGUAAAGAAGCACCGGCUAACUACGUG